rnacentral:rRNA from 1 species
GACGAACGCUGGCGGCGUGCCCAAUACAUGCAAGUUGAGCGAUGAAGCUUGGUGCUUGCACCAAUUUGAAGAGCAGCGAACGGGUGAGUAACGCGUGGGGAAUCUGCCUUUGAGCGGGGGACAACAUUUGGAAACGAAUGCUAAUACCGCAUAACAACUUUAAACAUAAGUUUUAAGUUUGAAAGAUGCAAUUGCAUCACUCAAAGAUGAUCCCGCGUUGUAUUAGCUAGUUGGUGAGGUAAAGGCUCACCAAGGCGAUGAUACAUAGCCGACCUGAGAGGGUGAUCGGCCACAUUGGGACUGAGACACGGCCCAAACUCCUACGGGAGGCAGCAGUAGGGAAUCUUCGGCAAUGGACGAAAGUCUGACCGAGCAACGCCGCGUGAGUGAAGAAGGUUUUCGGAUCGUAAAACUCUGUUGGUAGAGAAGAACGUUGGUGAGAGUGGAAAGCUCAUCAAGUGACGGUAACUACCCAGAAAGGGACGGCUAACUACGUG